rnacentral:rRNA from 1 species
GACAGAGGUGGCAAGCGUUGUUCGGAAUUACUGGGCUUAAAGGGCGAGUAGGCGGUGGGACAAGUCUGAUGUGGAAUGUUAGGGCUUAACCCUAAAACUGCAUUAGAAACUGUUUUACUUGAGUCAGUGAGGGGAGGGCGGAAUUCCCGGUGUAGCGGUGAAAUGCGUAGAUAUCGGGAGGAAGGCCGGUGGCGAAGGCGGCCCUCUGGCACUGUACUGACGCUGAGGCGCGAAAGCGUGGGGAGCAAAC